rnacentral:tRNA from 1 species
GGGCCCGUAGCUCAACGGUUAGAGCUGGCCGCUCAUAAAGGCUCGGUUUUGGGUCCGAUUACCUUCGGUGGCCUGCGACUCCUGCCGGGCCCACCA